UGGGGAAUAUUGCGCAAUGGGGGGAACCCUGACGCAGCCACGCCGCGUGAAUGAAGAAGGCCUUAGGGUUGUAAAGUUCUUUCGGUAUUGAGGAAGGUUGAUGUGUUAAUAGCACAUCAAAUUGACGUUAAAUACAGAAGAAGCACCGGCUAACUCCGUGCCAGCAGCCGCGGUAAUACGGAGGGUGCGAGCGUUAAUCGGAAUAACUGGGCGUAAAGGGCACGCAGGCGGUUAUUUAAGUGAGGUGUGAAAGCCCCGGGCUUAACCUGGGAAUUGCAUUUCAGACUGGGUAACUAGAGUACUUUAGGGAGGGGUAGAAUUCCACGUGUAGCGGUGAAAUGCGUAGAGAUGUGGAGGAAUACCGAAGGCGAAGGCAGCCCCUUGGGAAUGUACUGACGCUCAUGUGCGAAAGCGUGGGGAGCAAACAGGAUUAGAUACCCUGGUAGUCCACGCUGUAAACGCUGUCGAUUUGGGGGUUGGGGUUUAACUCUGGCGCCCGUAGCUAACGUGAUAAAUCGACCGCCUGGGGAGUACGGCCGCAAGGUUA
rnacentral:rRNA from 1 species